UCGUUUGUGCAUUAUUUAAUUACUUUUGUUUAUAGGGAAGAACAUACGUGAAGGGCAGGAAGUUGCAGAAUGCAAUAUCUUCACAGAAAACUGACCAGUAAUAGGUCUUCAUUCAAAACAGUCCAUCAAGUCCUACUUCGACAGUUUUAUUCCACAGACAAGUGCUAUGAUGCUGGGCAGCCAACACCAAGUACUCAUCCUCAGUUACUAAAAGAAGGUGAGAUUACACCAGGAAUCACUUGUGAUGAAUAUAUAUCAAGGAGGAAGAGACUAUUGGAACUUCUUCCAGAACAGAGUGUGGCUAUUGUUGCAGCUGCUCCUGUAAAGAUGAUGACUGACGUUGUACCUUACAAUUUUCGCCAAGAUGCUGACUAUCUGUAUAUUACUGGAUGCCAACAGCCUGGUGGGAUAGCUGUAUUGGGUCAUGACUUUGGUUUGUGCAUGUUCAUGCCUGAAGCUACCCCUCAAGACAUUACUUGGCAAGGACAGAUAGCUGGAAUUGAUGCUGCUACAGAAUUUUUCAAGGCUGAUCAGUCCUAUCCUAUCAGCAAAUUACACAAGUUUCUUCCAAACAUGAUAAAAAGUUGUUCAAAGUUAUAUCAUAAUGUGAAGACAGCUAUCCCAACUUAUACAGACUUAGAGGCGUUCCAGAAAGCUUCCUAUAAUGGUGGAGUACAUGAUUUCUCCUUAUAUACCCAUGAAGCACGAUGGGUAAAAUCAUCAGCCGAGAUUAAUCUAAUGAAAGAAUCUGCUGCCAUAGGUUGCCAGGCUCUUUUACAAACUAUGCUGCAUUCCAAGAUAUCUCCUUACGAGAAUAUCUUAUCAGCCAAGGUUGAAUAUGAGUGCAGAAUGAGAGGUGCCCAGAGAAUGGCAUUCAACCCUGUAGUUGGUGGUGGGCUUAAUGGUAGUGUGAUUCAUUAUUCUCGAAAUGACCAGAAAGUCAAAGAUGGAGACCUUGUUCUAAUGGAUGUUGGGUGCGAGUUGCAUGGCUACGUUAGUGACCUCACACGUACCUGGCCGCCCUGCGGCAGCUUUUCUGAUGUCCAUAAAGAACUCUAUGAUCUGGUUGUAGAGACAAACAAAGAAUGUAUUGAACUUUGCAAACCUGGUGCGAGCAUCCAACAUGUACACAACUACUCGGUUAACAAACUCUUUAGGGGUUUGAAGGAGAUUGGAAUUUUGAAAGACAACCGGCUUCAUAGCUAUCACCAGCUGAAUCCAACUAGCAUAGGUUACUAGAAAAUUGGUCCAGUAGCUAAAGGGUCAAUGUGCUAGCAGCACCCGGUUACCGGUAAAUCCCAACCUUCUCGGAGGUCAAGGGUUCAAGCUUCACUAAAGGUCAUUAUCUGGGAAUGGACGUGCAUGAUUGUUCCAAGAUCGGCUAUGAUCGCACCUUAAAGCCAGGUGUUGUGAUAACAAUUGAACCAGGAGUUUAUAUCCCAACCAAUUUCAACUGUGCGGAGAGAUACCAAGGCAUUGGGAUCAGGAUCGAGGACGAAGUCCUAAUUACGGAAUCAGGUUACGAGGUUCUUACAGGAUCAUUACCAAAAGAAAUCAACCACAUUGAAACCUUGUUGAAUAACCACAGCUAUGGAGGAACCUUUGCUUCCAGCCUGUGAUUUCGAAGCAGUCAUAUGCACCUUGGCUCAUAAGCUUUCAGUUACAACUUGAAUAAGAGAUGAAGCAUGCUCCAAGGAUCUACCCUGGUUUUUUCAUCUCUAUCUCCAAUUUGCAUUUUUGAUUUUGUAAGAGAAUAUAGUAUUUUCUACGUCAUAAACGUUCUUGGAUAUGAACUAGUCGGGCUUCUAUAUGCAAAAGAAUGUACAACUUUAUUCGGCUUAAUGGUAAUCGUUGAGCGGGAGGUUGCUUCAUUUUAGGGAAUGGGGAUGGGAAAUGUUAUUUUGGUUGGAAUGUGAAGGGUCAUAAAGUUACUAGUUUUAUU